rnacentral:rRNA from 1 species
UACGAAGGGGGCUAGCGUUGCUCGGAAUCACUGGGCGUAAAGCGCACGUAGGCGGAUUGCUAAGUCAGGGGUGAAAUCCUGGAGCUCAACUCCAGAACUGCCCUUGAUACUGGCGGUCUCGAGUCCGGGAGAGGUGAGUGGAACUGCGAGUGUAGAGGUGAAAUUCGUAGAUAUUCGUAAGAACACCAGUGGCGAAGGCGGCUCACUGGCCCGGUACUGACGCUGAGGUGCGAAAGCGUGGGGAGCAAACAGG